GUUAAUCGGAAUUACUGGGCGUAAAGCGCGCGUAGGCGGUUUGUCAAGUUGGAUGUGAAAUCCCUGGGCUCAACCUAGGAACUGCAUUCAAAACUUAUAGACUAGAGUACGAUAGAGGAGAGUAGAAUUCCUGGUGUAGCGGUGAAAUGCGUAGAUAUCAGGAGGAAUACCAAUGGCGAAGGCAACUCUCUGGAUCGACACUGACGCUGAGGUGCGAAAGCGUGGGUAGCAAACAGGAUUAGAUACCCUGGUAGUCCACGCCGUAAACGAUGAGAACUAGCCGUUGGAUCUUAGAUUCAGUGGUACAGCUAACGCAUUAAGUUCUCCGCCUGGGGAGUACGGCCGCAAGGCUAAAACUCAAAUGAAUUGACGGGGGCCCGCACAAGCGGUGGAGCAUGUGGUUUAAUUCGAUGCAACGCGAAAAACCUUACCAACCCUUGACAUCUAGUGAAAUUUCUAGAGAUAGAUUUGUGCCUUCGGGAACACUAUGACAGGUGUUGCAUGGCUGUCGUCAGCUCGUGUCGUGAGAUGUAUGGUUAAGUCCAGUAACGAGCGCAACCCCUAUUCUUAUUUGCCAGCACUUCGGGUGGGAACUAUAAGGAGACCGCCGUGUAUAACACGGAGGAAGGCGGGGACGACGUCAAGUCAUCAUGGCCCUUACGGGUUGGGCUACACACGUGCUACAAUGGGAGAUACAGAUGGUUGCGAAAGCGCGAGCUGGAGCUAAUCCCAAAAAGUCUUCCUCAGUCCGGAUUGGAGUCUGCAACUCGACUCCAUGAAGCAGGAAUCGCUAGUAAUCGUGAAUCAGAAUGUCACGGUGAAUACGUUCUCGGGCCUUGUACACACCGCCCGUCAC
rnacentral:rRNA from 1 species